UACGUAGGCAGCAAGCGUUGUUCGGAGUUACUGGGCGUAAAGGGUGUGUAGGCGGUUCUUUAAGUUUGGUGUGAAAUCUCCCGGCUCAACUGGGAGGGUGCGCCGAAUACUGAGGGACUAGAGUACGGGAGAGGAAAGUGGAAUUCCUGGUGUAGCGGUGAAAUGCGUAGAUAUCAGGAGGAACACCGGUGGUGUAGACGGCUUUCUGGACCGUAACUGGCGCUGAGACACGAAAGCGUGGGUAGCAAACAGG
rnacentral:rRNA from 1 species